rnacentral:rRNA from 1 species
UACGGGGGAGGCAAGCGUUAUCCGGAAUCAUUGGGCGUAAAGCGUCCGUAGGUGGUUAACCAAGUCUUUUGUCAAAGCGCGGGGCUUAACUUCGUAACGGCAGGGGAAACUGGUGAACUAGAGUGCGGUAGGGGUAGAGGGAAUUCCCAGUGUAGCGGUGAAAUGCGUAGAGAUUGGGAAGAACACCGGUGGCGAAAGCGCUCUACUGGGCCUGCACUGACACUGAGGGACGAAAGCUAGGGGAGCGAAAGGG